rnacentral:rRNA from 1 species
UCUAUGCCCAUUUCGGAUCUAAAAACAGGUCCAAACUCUUUUAUGUGGAUAACUGUGGGAAAUCUAGAGAUAAUACAUGCGUAGAGGGGAGACUCGGGCGAUCUGGGAAUCCUUGCAUUAACUAGAUUUAUUACAAUCAAAGAGGACACAAAAAACCCUCGAUGGUGAAUUACAGUUUACUAAAUAGCGUAGCGUUGCCAAAACGCAAUUGGGCAAAACAUUAUUAUCUAUUAAUUAUGAUGGUAAAAUAGAGGUUUACCAUGAUUGUGAUGGGUGACGGAAUUUAAGGGAAUGAUUCCAGAGAGGGAGCAUUGAGAGAUAGCUACCAUUUCUACGGAAAGCAGCAGGCGCGCAACUUACCCAAUUCUAAUACAGAGAGGUAGUGACAAUCAAUAACGACAGAGCUAAUGACCGGUGUAAAAACCGGUUUUCUGAUUGUAAUGAGUACAAUGCAAAAAUAUUAACGAGAAACAAUU